CGGACUGGACCGAGCCGGUUCCGGUGCUGUGUUUGGUGAGAGACACGUCUCCGGGGCAGCACCGAGUCCUCUGGACUAUCGGCGCCGAGGCAGACGCGCCGGGCAGCGAGGAGGAGGGAGAGAUCGAACCCGACGGGUCCUAUAGCGUGCGCAGCUACGUCACAAUCAGCGCGGAUCAAUGGAACAGCGGCGCUGUAAAGUGCAAGGUUUACAACAACAUCACCAACGUCACAGAAAAAGUCUCCGCGUCACUCCAAAGGCAAGAUUGCGUUCCUGUGUUGUUUUACGGACUGCCCGCCGUUUUCCUGCUAAUUCUGAUCGUGGUGUCUGUGGCGUGUAUUUACAGAAGACUUCAUAAAACUAAAACCGAUCACAAGUCCAGCGACGCGCCCUGCCGUCCCCAACGCCCCGCCCGACACAGAACAGUCCAGGAUUACUCGACGGAGUACGCAUCGCUCAAUCUGUGACGGGCUCCACAAAGCAGCGCGCUCAUCUUUCAAUGCAGCCGUGGAGAUGUUUUUCAUGUGCAGAGAGAGAGAGAGAGAGAGAGAGAGAGAGAGAGAGAGAGAGAGAGAGAGAGAGAGAGAGAGAGAGAGAGAGAGAGAGAGAGAGAGAGGACUGUGCUGUAUGUUUUAGAACCAAGGUCAAUGUCAAUUCCUGUUUUUCAAUUCACUGUAUACAUACACGCGUAACGGUAAUUGCAAUGUCUUUGUCAUGUCCAUGUUAUUAAUCAUUGUUACAAUGUACUUAAUGUGGAAAUCUUUGUGCACAAUUACAAUGUACUUGCAUAUAUCGCGCAAAAAACAUCUACACCAAACACACUGUAACUAUGAACAAUAACAUUUUAAUGAUGUGUCAGCCCACAUGCAUUUACCAAAUACACAGUAAUUACAGACUCCAUGUAACGUGUUACCCUUUUAAGGAAAACAAACAAAAGAAAACAGCCGAAGUCAAAUUCCAGCCUGUCAUGUUGUGCGCCUACCAGGAAUCUGUUUCUUUGUAUUCCAAGAAUGUCUCUUGUAUAUUUAUUAUUUUGCCUUGCUGUAAUAUUAAUAGUCACUGUAUUUGAAUAAUUGUACAUUUAAAGAAAUAUAAUAAAAAAUGUGAAAAAGGAUUUGAACAGA